GGGUUGUGAGGUUAAGCGACUAAGCGUACACGGUGGAUGCCCUGGCAGUCAGAGGCGAUGAAGGACGUGCUAAUCUGCGAUAAGCGUCGGUAAGGUGAUAUGAACCGUUAUAACCGGCGAUUUCCGAAUGGGGAAACCCAGUGUGAUUCGUCACACUAUCAUUAACUGAAUCCAUAGGUUAAUGAGGCGAACCGGGGGAACUGAAACAUCUAAGUACCCCGAGGAAAAGAAAUCAACCGAGAUUCCCCCAGUAGCGGCGAGCGAACGGGGAGCAGCCCAGAGCCUGAAUCAGUGUGUGUGUUAGUGGAAGCGUCUGGAAAGGCGCGCGAUACAGGGUGACAGCCCCGUACACAAAAAUGCACAUGCUGUGAGCUCGAUGAGUAGGGCGGGACACGUGGUAUCCUGUCUGAAUAUGGGGGGACCAUCCUCCAAGGCUAAAUACUCCUGACUGACCGAUAGUGAACCAGUACCGUGAGGGAAAGGCGAAAAGAACCCCGGCGAGGGGAGUGAAAAAGAACCUGAAACCGUGUACGUACAAGCAGUGGGAGCACGCUUAGGCGUGUGACUGCGUACCUUUUGUAUAAUGGGUCAGCGACUUAUAUUCUGUAGCAAGGUUAACCGAAUAGGGGAGCCGAAGGGAAACCGAGUCUUAACUGGGCGUUAAGUUGCAGGGUAUAGACCCGAAACCCGGUGAUCUAGCCAUGGGCAGGUUGAAGGUUGGGUAACACUAACUGGAGGACCGAACCGACUAAUGUUGAAAAAUUAGCGGAUGACUUGUGGCUGGGGGUGAAAGGCCAAUCAAACCGGGAGAUAGCUGGUUCUCCCCGAAAGCUAUUUAGGUAGCGCCUCGUGAAUUCAUCUCCGGGGGUAGAGCACUGUUUCGGCAAGGGGGUCAUCCCGACUUACCAACCCGAUGCAAACUGCGAAUACCGGAGAAUGUUAUCACGGGAGACACACGGCGGGUGCUAACGUCCGUCGUGAAGAGGGAAACAACCCAGACCGCCAGCUAAGGUCCCAAAGUCAUGGUUAAGUGGGAAACGAUGUGGGAAGGCCCAGACAGCCAGGAUGUUGGCUUAGAAGCAGCCAUCAUUUAAAGAAAGCGUAAUAGCUCACUGGUCGAGUCGGCCUGCGCGGAAGAUGUAACGGGGCUAAACCAUGCACCGAAGCUGCGGCAGCGACGCUUAUGCGUUGUUGGGUAGGGGAGCGUUCUGUAAGCCUGUGAAGGUGUGCUGUGAGGCAUGCUGGAGGUAUCAGAAGUGCGAAUGCUGACAUAAGUAACGAUAAAGCGGGUGAAAAGCCCGCUCGCCGGAAGACCAAGGGUUCCUGUCCAACGUUAAUCGGGGCAGGGUGAGUCGACCCCUAAGGCGAGGCCGAAAGGCGUAGUCGAUGGGAAACAGGUUAAUAUUCCUGUACUUGGUGUUACUGCGAAGGGGGGACGGAGAAGGCUAUGUUGGCCGGGCGACGGUUGUCCCGGUUUAAGCGUGUAGGCUGGUUUUCCAGGCAAAUCCGGAAAAUCAAGGCUGAGGCGUGAUGACGAGGCACUACGGUGCUGAAGCAACAAAUGCCCUGCUUCCAGGAAAAGCCUCUAAGCAUCAGGUAACAUCAAAUCGUACCCCAAACCGACACAGGUGGUCAGGUAGAGAAUACCAAGGCGCUUGAGAGAACUCGGGUGAAGGAACUAGGCAAAAUGGUGCCGUAACUUCGGGAGAAGGCACGCUGAUAUGUAGGUGAAGUCCCUCGCGGAUGGAGCUGAAAUCAGUCGAAGAUACCAGCUGGCUGCAACUGUUUAUUAAAAACACAGCACUGUGCAAACACGAAAGUGGACGUAUACGGUGUGACGCCUGCCCGGUGCCGGAAGGUUAAUUGAUGGGGUCAGCGCAAGCGAAGCUCUUGAUCGAAGCCCCGGUAAACGGCGGCCGUAACUAUAACGGUCCUAAGGUAGCGAAAUUCCUUGUCGGGUAAGUUCCGACCUGCACGAAUGGCGUAAUGAUGGCCAGGCUGUCUCCACCCGAGACUCAGUGAAAUUGAACUCGCUGUGAAGAUGCAGUGUACCCGCGGCAAGACGGAAAGACCCCGUGAACCUUUACUAUAGCUUGACACUGAACAUUGAGCCUUGAUGUGUAGGAUAGGUGGGAGGCUUAGAAGUGUGGACGCCAGUCUGCAUGGAGCCGACCUUGAAAUACCACCCUUUAAUGUUUGAUGUUCUAACGUUGACCCGUAAUCCGGGUUGCGGACAGUGUCUGGUGGGUAGUUUGACUGGGGCGGUCUCCUCCUAAAGAGUAACGGAGGAGCACGAAGGUUGGCUAAUCCUGGUCGGACAUCAGGAGGUUAGUGCAAUGGCAUAAGCCAGCUUGACUGCGAGCGUGACGGCGCGAGCAGGUGCGAAAGCAGGUCAUAGUGAUCCGGUGGUUCUGAAUGGAAGGGCCAUCGCUCAACGGAUAAAAGGUACUCCGGGGAUAACAGGCUGAUACCGCCCAAGAGUUCAUAUCGACGGCGGUGUUUGGCACCUCGAUGUCGGCUCAUCACAUCCUGGGGCUGAAGUAGGUCCCAAGGGUAUGGCUGUUCGCCAUUUAAAGUGGUACGCGAGCUGGGUUUAGAACGUCGUGAGACAGUUCGGUCCCUAUCUGCCGUGGGCGCUGGAGAACUGAGGGGGGCUGCUCCUAGUACGAGAGGACCGGAGUGGACGCAUCACUGGUGUUCGGGUUGUCAUGCCAAUGGCACUGCCCGGUAGCUAAAUGCGGAAGAGAUAAGUGCUGAAAGCAUCUAAGCACGAAACUUGCCCCGAGAUGAGUUCUCCCUGACUCCUUGAGAGUCCUGAAGGAACGUUGAAGACGACGACGUUGAUAGGCCGGGUGUGUAAGCGCAGCGAUGCGUUGAGCUAACCGGUACUAAUGAACCGUGAGGCUUA
rnacentral:rRNA from 1 species